rnacentral:rRNA from 1 species
AGUGAACGCUGGCGGUAGGCCUAACACAUGCAAGUCGAACGGCAGCACAGUAAGAGCUUGCUCUUACGGGUGGCGAGUGGCGGACGGGUGAGGAAUACAUCGGAAUCUACUUUUUCGUGGGGGAUAACGUAGGGAAACUUACGCUAAUACCGCAUACGACCUACGGGUGAAAGCAGGGGAUCUUCGGACCUUGCGCGAUUGAAUGAGCCGAUGUCGGAUUAGCUAGUUGGCGGGGUAAAGGCCCACCAAGGCGACGAUCCGUAGCUGGUCUGAGAGGAUGAUCAGCCACACUGGAACUGAGACACGGUCCAGACUCCGACGGGAGGCAGCAGUGGGGAAUAUUGGACAAUGGGCGCAAGCCUGAUCCAGCCAUACCGCGUGGGUGAGGAAGGCCUUCGGGUUGUAAAGCCCUGUUGUUGGGAAAGAAAAGCAGCAGGUUAAUACCCCGCUGUUCUGACGGUACCCAAAGAAUAAGCACCGGCUAACUUCGUG